GCCUUCGUGGUGAAGUGGACAGCACGCUCGACGCGUAACCGAGAGGGCCAUGGUUCGAUUCCCGGCGAAGGCG
rnacentral:tRNA from 1 species